rnacentral:rRNA from 1 species
CCUACGGGAGGCAGCAGUAGGGAAUCUUCCACAAUGGGCGAAAGCCUGAUGGAGCAACGCCGCGUGGGUGAAGAAGGUCUUCGGAUCGUAAAACCCUGUUGUUAGAGAAGAAAGUGCGUGAGAGUAACUGUUCACGUUUCGACGGUAUCUAACCAGAAAGCCACGGCUAACGCCGUCCCAGCAGCCGCGGUAAGACGUAGGUGGCAAGCGUUAUCCGGAUUUAUUGGGCGUAAAGGGAACGCAGUCGGUUUGUUAAGUCUGAUGGGAAAGCUUGCGGCUUAACCGGAGUAGUGCAUUGGAAACUGGGAGACUUGAGUGCAGAAGAGGAGAGCGGAACUCCAGGUGUAGCGGUGAAAUGCGUAGAUAUAUGGAAGAACACCAGUGGCGAAAGCGGCUCUCUGGUCUGUAACUGACGCUGAGGUUCGAAAGCGUGGGUAGCAAACAGGAUUAGAUACCCUAGUAGUC